rnacentral:lncRNA from 1 species
ACCACAUCUUUUGUAUAUUUCUUGAAAAGAAUAACGUAAAUCUCCUGAUUUAGGGAAAUUAGUCAUCAAUUUCAAAUGCCUGGACACAGCAACAGCUUGUUGUAAAGAGCUUGUUCUGACAGGGCAAUCUGAUGGAGAGCCCUCCAUGCUAUCAGGAAGCCAACACGUAACAUAACCUCUUAAAACAUGAAGCCAAAGCAGCUGACCCUCGGCAAGUGCACUCUGCCCCAAAUGCUGGAGAGGACCUCUGAGAACGAGGAGAGCUAAACAGUCAUGCUGACUCACCACUGCAGUCCAAUGGGAACAUAAUGCCACCCCAUAAACAAUUUGAGGCUCAGUGCUCUUGCUCUUUGUAUUUGUGUAUUUGGGCUGAAAAACGUAUUAAGACUAUAAAUAAAAAUGCACUUCUACUUGAAAUUCCAAGAUUCUGUUUGAAGAAGGAGAGGCUGAUGACAGUUUUAAACGCCUUUAUAUGUACACAUACGUGUGCAUGGAAGGGUUUUUAGACGAGUCUUCAUAAUCUGGCCACUUGUGCAAAGCACAAAAGCAACUUUUAAAAAUGGGCGUAGGAUUUUCAUAGAUUAAUAUUUUCUUGGCAAGUUUGACUCCAUACGAUUCAAGUUGGGAAACAAUACCAUCUCCUUCACCAGUACAGCAAUAGCUGGUGACCCUAGCAGUCCAUCCAUACUGGAACAAACUGCCAUGGAGCAACAGGAGAUAGGAAUGAGCCUGGCAACAAAGCCACAAUAUUAACCCAAGGUCCAUCCCACAAACAAGGCAGAAACAGACCUACCUGUAACAUAGGUCCACAAUCUACCUGGGAAAGAGGAGUAGAGACAAGGUUACACCUACAGCACAGCUCAAAAAAAAGUAAGAUAGUCAAGGCUGAGUUUAAUGGGGCCCCAGCCCAUAGGCAGCAGGUGUGGGGGGACCCAGGUGGGGCUGAUCAAGGCCAUCAGUGGCCUCAGGGUUCUGAGACACCUAUGUUUUCUCCCGUUGCUCAGAUUUGCUUUCCCCCACAGCCAGCCCGAGUUACGAAACGCAAGCAAAGCAGCUGCUUCAGGCCACGGUGCAGUCAGUCUCAUGCAAGACAGUAAACAGGAGCCAUUUCCUUUUAAAACGAGGAACUGAC